AUUGAACGCUGGCGGCAGGCCUAACACAUGCAAGUCGGACGGUAGCACAGAGGAGCUUGCUCCUUGGGUGACGAGUGGCGGACGGGUGAGUAAUGUCUGGGGAUCUGCCCGAGAGAGAGGGAUAACCACUGGAAACGGUGGCUAAUACCGCAUAACGUCGCAAGACCAAAGAGGGGGACCUUCGGGCCUCUCACUAUCGGAUGAACCCAGAUGGGAUUAGCUAGUAGGCGGGGUAAUGGCCCACCUAGGCGACGAUCCCUAGCUGGUCUGAGAGGAUGACCAGCCACACUGGAACUGAGACACGGUCCAGACUCCUACGGGAGGCAGCAGUGGGGAAUAUUGCACAAUGGGCGCAAGCCUGAUGCAGCCAUGCCGCGUGUAUGAAGAAGGCCUUCGGGUUGUAAAGUACUUUCAGCGGGGAGGAAGGCGGUGAGGUUAAUAACCUCGCCGAUUGACGUUACCCGCAGAAGAAGCACCGGCUAACUCCGUGCCAGCCGCCGCAGUAA
rnacentral:rRNA from 1 species